rnacentral:rRNA from 1 species
AGUGGAUGGGGAGCAACCUAGUUGUGCGUGUGUAAAGGUAGUGCCAAGAAAAGCGAUGAUCAUGUUGAAAAUCAAUUCCCGGUACCCGAAACCGACACAGGUGGGCAAGUAGAGAAUACUAAGGGGCGCGAGGUAACUCUCUCCAAGGAACUCGGCAAAAUGACCCCGUAACUUAGGGAGAAGGGGUGCCACCGAGAGGUGGUCGCAGUGAAGAGGCCCAGGCGACUGUUUAUCAAAAACAUAGGUCUCUGCAAACUCGAAAGAGGAGGUAUAGGGGCUGACGCCUGCCCAGUGCCGGAAGGUUAAAGAAGUUGGUCAGUUUUAGGAUGAAGCUAGCGACUGAAGCCCCGGUGAACGGCGGCUGUAACUAUAACGGUCCUAAGGUAGCGAAAUUCCUUGUCGGGUAAGUUCCGACCCGCACGAAAGGCGUAACGAUCUGGGCGCUGUCUCGGAGAGAGGCUCGGCGAAAUAGGAUUGUCUGUGAAGAUACGGACUACCUGCAUUUGGACAGAAAGACCCUAUGAAGCUUUACUAUAGCUUGGAAUUGUGUUCGGGCUUCCUGUGCGCAGGAUAGGUGGGAGGCGUAGAAGGUAUUCUUGUGGGGAUACUGGAGCCAACGGUGAGAUACCACUCUCAGGAGGCUAGAAUUCUAACUUAAUUAAGGACAGUUUCAGGUGGGUAGUUUGACUGGGGCGGUCGCCUCCAAAAAGGUAACGGAGGCGUACAAAGGUUCCCUCAGACUGGUUGGAAAUCAGUCGAAGAGUGCAAAGGCAGAAGGGAGCUUGACUGCGAGAAGUACAGUUCGAGCAGGGUGGAAACACGGUCUUAGUGAUCCGACGGUGCUGUGUGGAAGGGCCGUCGCUCAACGGAUAAAAGUUACUCUAGGAUAACAGGCUGAUCUCCCCCAAGAGUUCACAUCGACGGGGAGGUUUGGCACCUCGAUGUCGGCUCAUCGCAACCUGGGGCGGAAGUACGUCCCAAGGGUUGGGCUGUUCGCCCAUUAAAGCGGUACGUGAGCUGGGUUCAGAACGUCGUGAGACAGUUCGGUCCAUAUCCGAUGUAGGCGUGAGAAUAUUGAGAGGAGCCUUCCUUAGUACGAGAGGACCGGGAAGGACGCACCGCUGGUGUACCUGUUAUGAUGCCAAUUGUAAACGCAGGGUAGCCAAGUGCGGAGAGGAUAACCGCUGAAAGCAUCUAAGUGGGAAGCCCACCUCAAGAUGAGUAUUCUGGUGUAAGGUCACGGGAAGACGACCCGUAAAUAGGCACGAGGUGGAAGUGCAGAGAUGUAUGAAGCCGAAGUGUACUAAUAGACCGUCGGCUUGACC